UAGCUGUGUGAUAAGCAUAAAAAAUAAUUUGCUGUUGAUGGAUGUAUGAAAGAUGCAUAGUGAGCACAAUCAGACAAGUGAAAAGACUGCACAACUCUGAACUGGCCUGUUAGAAAAACUUCAACUCAGAGGUAGAGCCAUUUACUGGGGACAAAGCUUAAUUAGCCUCUGUUCCUGCCACCAGGUGCCCAGACACUGCUUCAAGGAGCCAAGGAACUCAGUGGCUUUUCUAUCAUGACCUGACCUGGACUUAGCAUGAAGACAGACAGAGCUGCAUUCCUGGGAUUUCGAAGAAGAAAAUAAGAUUCUGUCAAGCCUGCGUUCAAUCAAAAUAUCCUCCCCUAUGGGCUCAUCUUGAGACAGACAGACAGACCAAGGCACUGGAGACCCAGGUAUAAAGUUCCAGAGAUGACUUCAAGGUGGCUAGUCAACAACACAGCCAUUGUUGAGAUGAGGCCAGCCCGAGAUCCAGUUGGACUGGGACCCAAGACAGCCACCAGAACCAGACACACAGACACACUACUCAGCACCAUUGUUGCAUGCCUUCCUUAUCAAGUUGUCCUGUUUUAAACCCCUGCCUCCCCGCCCCACACCACAAAAUUGAAGUGGUUGUUUUGGAUAGGAAUCCAGCCACUUCCCCUGGACUAAUCUUGGUUAGUAAAAAUCACUUUCUUUAUGCCAGACCU